UACGUAGGGCGCAAGCGUUGUCCGGAAUUAUUGGGCGUAAAGAGCUCGUAGGCGGCCUGUUGCGUCCGCUGUGAAAUCCCGGGCUCAACCCCGGGCCUGCAGUGGAUACGGGCAGACUAGAGGUAUGCAGGGGAGAACGGAAUUCCUGGUGUAGCGGUGAAAUGCGCAGAUAUCAGGAGGAACACCGGUGGCGAAGGCGACUUACUGGACGACAUAUUGACGCUGAGGUGCGGAAGCGUGGGAGCAAACAGG
rnacentral:rRNA from 1 species